AGAGUUUGAUCCUGGCUCAGGACGAACGCUGGCGGCGUGCCUAACACAUGCAAGUCGAACGGACGAGGAGGAGCUUGCUUCUCCAAGUCAGUGGCGGACGGGUGAGUAACGCGUGAGUAACCUGCCUUGGAGUGGGGAAUAACACAGUGAAAACUGUGCUAAUACCGCAUAAUGCAUUUGGGUCGCAUGAUUCUGAAUGCCAAAGAUUUAUCGCUCUGAGAUGGACUCGCGUCUGAUUAGCUGGUUGGCGGGGUAACGGCCCACCAAGGCGACGAUCAGUAGCCGGACUGAGAGGUUGAACGGCCACAUUGGGACUGAGACACGGCCCAGACUCCUACGGGAGGCAGCAGUGGGGAAUAUUGCGCAAUGGGGGAAACCCUGACGCAGCAACGCCGCGUGAUUGAAGAAGGCCUUCGGGUUGUAAAGAUCUUUAAUUCGGGACGAAUUUUGACGGUACCGAAAGAAUAAGCUCCGGCUAACUACGUGCCAGCAGCCGCGGUAAUACGUAGGGAGCAAGCGUUAUCCGGAUUUAUUGGGCGUAAAGGGCUCGUAGGCGGCUCGUCGCGUCCGGUGUGAAAGUCCAUCGCUUAACGGUGGAUCUGCGCCGGGUACGGGCGGGCUGGAGUGCGGUAGGGGAGACUGGAAUUCCCGGUGUAACGGUGGAAUGUGUAGAUAUCGGGAAGAACACCGAUGGCGAAGGCAGGUCUCUGGGCCGUCACUGACGCUGAGGAGCGAAAGCGUGGGGAGCGAACAGGAUUAGAUACCCUGGUAGUCCACGCCGUAAACGGUGGACGCUGGAUGUGGGGCACGUUCCACGUGUUCCGUGUCGGAGCUAACGCGUUAAGCGUCCCGCCUGGGGAGUACGGCCGCAAGGCUAAAACUCAAAGAAAUUGACGGGGGCCCGCACAAGCGGCGGAGCAUGCGGAUUAAUUCGAUGCAACGCGAAGAACCUUACCUGGGCUUGACAUGUUCCCGACGACGCCAGAGAUGGCGUUUCCCUUCGGGGCGGGUUCACAGGUGGUGCAUGGUCGUCGUCAGCUCGUGUCGUGAGAUGUUGGGUUAAGUCCCGCAACGAGCGCAACCCUCGCCCCGUGUUGCCAGCACGUUAUGGUGGGAACUCACGGGGGACCGCCGGGGUUAACUCGGAGGAAGGUGGGGAUGACGUCAGAUCAUCAUGCCCCUUACGUCCAGGGCUUCACGCAUGCUACAAUGGCCGGUACAGCGGGAUGCGACAUGGCGACAUGGAGCGGAUCCCUGAAAACCGGUCUCAGUUCGGAUCGGAGCCUGCAACCCGGCUCCGUGAAGGCGGAGUCGCUAGUAAUCGCGGAUCAGCAACGCCGCGGUGAAUGCGUUCCCGGGCCUUGUACACACCGCCCGUCAAGUCAUGAAAGUGGGCAGCACCCGAAGCCGGUGGCCUAACCCCUUGUGGGAUGGAGCCGUCUAAGGUGAGGCUCGUGAUUGGGACUAAGUCGUAACAAGGUAGCCGUACCGGAAGGUGCGGCUG
rnacentral:rRNA from 1 species